rnacentral:rRNA from 1 species
CUACGGGACGCUGCAGUGGGGAAUAUUGCACAAUGGGCGCAAGCCUGAUGCAGCCAUGCCGCGUGUAUGAAGAAGGCCUUCGGGUUGUAAAGUACUUUCAGCGGGGAGGAAGGGAGUAAAGUUAAUACCUUUGCUCAUUGACGUUACCCGCAGAAGAAGCACCGGCUAACUCCGUGCCAGCAGCCGCGGUAAUACGGAGGGUGCAAGCGUUGAUCGGAAUUACUGGGCGUAAAGCGCACGCAGGCGGUUUGUUAAGUCAGAUGUGAAAUCCCCGGGCUCAACCUGGGAACUGCAUCUGAUACUGGCAAGCUUGAGUCUCGUAGAGGGGGGUAGAAUUCCAGGUGUAGCGGUGAAAUGCGUAGAGAUCUGGAGGAAUACCGGUGGCGAAGGCGGCCCCCUGGGCGAAGACUGACGCUCAGGUGCGAAAGCGUGGGGAGCAAACAGGAUUAGAUACCCGAGUAGUC